AUUGAACGCUGGCGGCAGGCUUAACACAUGCAAGUCGAGCGGGGUGAUGGUGCUUGCACUAUCACUUAGCGGCGGACGGGUGAGUAAUGCUUAGGAAUCUGCCUAUUAGUGGGGGACAACAUCUCGAAAGGGAUGCUAAUACCGCAUACGUCCUACGGGAGAAAGCAGGGGAUCACUUGUGACCUUGCGCUAAUAGAUGAGCCUAAGUCGGAUUAGCUAGUGGGUGGGGUAAAGGCCUACCAAGGCGACGAUCUGUAGCGGGUCUGAGAGGAUGAUCCGCGACUCUGGGACUGAGGAACGGCCCAGACUCCUACGGGAGGCAGCAGUGGGGAAUAUGGGACGAUGGGGGGAACCCUGAUCCAGCCAUGCCGCGUGUGUGAAGAAGGCCUUAUGGUUGUAAAGCACUUUAAGCGAGGAGGAGGCUCUUUUGGUUAAUACCCAAGAUGAGUGGACGUUACUCGCAGAAUAAGCACCGGCUAACUCUGUGCCAGCCGCCGCAGUAA
rnacentral:rRNA from 1 species